rnacentral:rRNA from 1 species
UACGUAGGGUGCGAGCGUUAAUCGGAAUUACUGGGCGUAAAGCGUGCGCAGGCGGUGAGCUGUGUCCGAUGUGAAAGCCCCGGGCUUAACCUGGGAAUGGCAUUGGAAACUGGCUCGCUGGAGUGUGGCAGAGGGGGGUGGAAUUCCGCGUGUAGCAGUGAAAUGCGUAGAGAUGCGGAGGAACACCGAUGGCGAAGGCAGGUCUCUGGGCUGACACUGACGCUCAUGCACGAAAGCGUGGGGAGCAAACAGG